ACUUGGGAUAGCUCAGGGGGUAGAGCAUGAUACUCUUAAUCUCAGGGUCAUGGGUUCGAGCCCAAGGCUGGGGG